AUUGAACGCUGGCGGCAUGCUUUACACAUGCAAGUCGAACGGCAGCGGGGGCUUCGGCCUGCCGGCGAGUGGCGAACGGGUGAGUAAUGCAUCGGAACGUGCCCAGUAGUGGGGGAUAGCCCGGCGAAAGCCGGAUUAAUACCGCAUACGACCUGAGGGUGAAAGCGGGGGAUCGCAAGACCUCGCGCUAUUGGAGCGGCCGAUGUCAGAUUAGGUAGUUGGUGGGGUAAAGGCCUACCAAGCCGACGAUCUGUAGCUGGUCUGAGAGGACGACCAGCCACACUGGGACUGAGACACGGCCCAGACUCCUACGGGAGGCAGCAGUGGGGAAUUUUGGACAAUGGGCGCAAGCCUGAUCCAGCCAUGCCGCGUGCGGGAAGAAGGCCUCGG
rnacentral:rRNA from 1 species